rnacentral:rRNA from 1 species
UACAGAGGGUGCGAGCGUUAAUCGGAAUUACUGGGCGUAAAGGGCUCGUAGGCGGCCAACUAAGUCAGACGUGAAAUCCCUCAGCUUAACUGGGGAACUGCGUCUGAUACUGGAUGGCUCGAGUGUGGGAGAGGAAUGCGGAAUUCCAGGUGUAGCGGUGAAAUGCGUAGAUAUCUGGAGGAACACCGGUGGCGAAGGCGGCAUUCUGGACCAUAACUGACACUGAGAGACGGAAGCCAGGGGAGCAAACCGGG